rnacentral:misc_RNA from 1 species
UCAAACUUGGUCAUUUAGAGGAAGUAAAAGUCGUAACAAGGUUUCCGUAGGUGAACCUGCGGAAGGAUCAUUCAAAAAAUUCAUAAUAAUGAUACACCCUUUGUGUGCACUCGUAUUAUUACCCCCCAUUUUGGCAUGACUCUUAACACCGGGGGCCUGGCUUUGCUAGGCCUUGAGUUAAGUCCCUACCUUGGCGUCAGUCUCGGUAGGAAGCGCAUGCCAGAGUGGUUUAUAAUCAACUCGUUUUUUUGUCUAUGUAUCGUCUGAACUUGAUUUUUAUCAUAAGAUAAAAUACAACUUUCAACAACGGAUCUCUUGGCUCUCGCAUCGAUGAAGAACGCAGC